GGUACACAAGCAUAAAUAAAGUCAAAAUUCAAGAUAAAAUAUUAAAAUUCAAGUAUGUGCUUUUCGUAGGUGCAUAUGUAUAAUUUCGAAGACAUUGAAUACCCCAUAUUAACAGGACAUGAUGCAUCGAAUUAAAGAAGUCACGUCCUCUUCCCGAACUUUUUAUAAAUUAAAUCCACCCCAUUGUUAUUUUAAAAAACACGACACUUAAAUUACUUAAAUAUUUCCUAUUCCCCAUUUAAAUAAAUCGAAAACAAUGUGUAAUAAAACACGUCCUGAAAAAUACAUCGACCAACUCAGAAUUUCCCAGGACUGAGACAACAAGAGUAAUUUGUGGACAGAUUAAAAUGCUUCUAAAUAAGUACUUCAAAACCAUUCCCGGUCGGACGUCCCCUCUCAUGCGGGGUACAAUGAUACUUUUUGUGUUCAUCUUGCUCACCACAAGGUUUUGCGUUAUUUCCGGGCCACAAGAGGGACAGGAGGGCGAUUUUUGUGCCACUGCUGAACAAUGCCAAGAUCCCCCACAAAAGUCAGGACAACCAAAACUCUACAAGCACUGUGCCGUCGGGAGUUUCCUUGGCUUUGAGUAUAAAUCUGGAUUUUGCCUCUACUCUACUGACUCGAAAGCCCGGGUGGAUUUUCUUUGUAUUGGAAGAGGUACUUGUGUACGAACAACGUGGAGAUGCAAGGUAGAUGCUGAUUGUUGUAGAGGACUUACUUGCGUCAGUGAGACAAAUGAGCACGGCUACGUGAGUCAUCUUUGUGGAGGAAAUUAUGACGAAGAGUACGCCAAUGGGUUGACCUACUACAAAAAUAAUUUUAGAAAUAGAACUUCUAAGCCUAAAUAUGUAAGUAUCUAAGUACAUUUUUACCGGAAUCCAACGGGGGACAUACUAACAAUGCAAUGAUGCCAGCGGUUUCGCUACGAUGUUGAAGAAACCGCGAUAAUUGUGUAACCUUAGAUAAAUAAUUAAACACGUGUUUCAGGAUCAUAAUUUCGUUUAAACUGAGCACUA